GUUUCAAUGUAGGGGGACCAGUGUAGCUGGUUGAGAUUGUAUCCUUUAAUGAUACUGACCCUUAGAACCUGAACUGGUUGAUACCAGCGUAGGAAACAUAAGUAGCGAUAUU
rnacentral:ncRNA from 2 species